rnacentral:rRNA from 1 species
GUUGGUGGUUAUUGUGUCGGGGGUACGCCCGGUCCCUUUCCGAACCCGGAAGCUAAGCCCGAUUGCGCUGAUGGUACUGCACCAUGGAGGGUCCCUUUCCGAACCCGGAAGCUAAGCCCGAUUGCGCUGAUGGUACUGCACCUGGGAGGGUGUGGGAGAGUAGGUCGCCGCCAACC